GAUGAAGAACGUAGCAAAAUGCGAUACUUGGUGUGAAUUGCAGAAUCCCGUGAACCAUCGAGUCUUUGAACGCAAGUUGCGCCCGAAGCCAUCAGGUUGAGGGCACGUCUGCCUGGGCGUCACAUAUCGUUGCCCAAUGCCUAUUGCAGUGCAAUAGGAAUUUCUAGGGCGAAUGAUGGCUUCCCGUGAGCGUUGUUGCCUCGCGGUUGGUUGAAAAUCGAGUCCUUGGUAGGGUGUGCCAUGGUAGAUGGUGGUCGAGUUAGAACGAUACCGAUCAUGUGCAUGCUCCCCAAAAUAUGGCCUCUAUGACCCACACGCGUCUUUUGACGCUCAUGACGAGACCUCAGGUCAGGCGGGGCUACCCGCUGAAUUUAAGCAUAUCAAUAAGCGGAGGA
rnacentral:misc_RNA from 1 species